GGUUAAUUCCGUUAACGAGCGAGACCUGGGCGUGCUAAAUAGGAGCUACUACCGUUUUUGGUAGUACGUUACUUCUUCUUAGACGGACUGCGGGCGUCUAGUCCGCGGAAGCUCCAGGCAAURACAGGUCUGAGAUGCCCUUAGAUGUUCUGGGCCGCASRCGUGCUASACUGAGUGGAUCAGCGGGUCAGGUUGCACGAAAGUGUUUCCUAAUCUUGAAAUCSGCUCGUGAUGGGGAUUGAGGGUUGCAAUUUUCCCUCAUGAACGAGGAAUACCUUGURAGCGUGGGUCAUCRUCCCGSGCUGAAUACKUCCCUGCCCUUUGUACACACCGCCCGUCGCUCCUACCGAUUGAGUGGUCCGGUGAGGCUUUGGGAUUGCAGCGGGAAGAGCGUUUCGCUCGUUCUGCCGCGAGAACUCAAUCRAACCUUAUCAUUUAKAGGAA
rnacentral:rRNA from 1 species